rnacentral:miRNA from 1 species
AUUGGGGAUGCUUUGCAUUCAU